GAUGAUGAUGAAUGCUGUGGGCUCUGAGCAGUUGAUUGAUGGACAUGCAGCCCAGAAAGCUUCAUCCGAAUC